AGAGUUUGAUCAUGGCUCAGGACGAACGCUGGCGGCGUGCUUAACACAUGCAAGUCGAACGGAGUCCAUCCAGUCGCAAGACUGGUGAAGACUGAGUGGCGAACGGGUGCGUAACACGUGAGAAACCUGUCCCGGUCUCUGGAAUAACAGUCGGAAACGACUGCUAAUACUGGAUGCCGUCGGAGGGCCGCAUGGCUCGCUGACGAAAGGGUUACCGGAUCGGGAGGGUCUCGCGGCCUAUCAGCUUGUUGGUGAGGUAACGGCUCACCAAGGCAUCGACGGGUAGCUGGUCUGAGAGGAUGAUCAGCCACACUGGGACUGAGACACGGCCCAGACUCCUACGGGAGGCAGCAGUGGGGAAUCUUGCACAAUGGGCGAAAGCCUGAUGCAGCAACGCCGCGUGCGGGAAGAAGGCCUUAGGGUUGUAAACCGCUUUCAGCAGGAAAGAAACUGACGGUACCUGCAGAAGAAGGUGCGGCCAACUACGUGCCAGCAGCCGCGGUGACACGUAGGCACCAAGCGUUGUCCGGAUUUAUUGGGCGUAAAGAGCUCGUAGGCGGUUCGGUAAGUCGGGUGUGAAAACUCUGGGCUCAACCCAGAGAUGCCACCCGAUACUGCUGUGACUCGAGUGCGGUAGGGGAGCGGGGAAUUCCUGGUGUAGCGGUGAAAUGCGCAGAUAUCAGGAGGAACACCAGUGGCGAAGGCGCCGCUCUGGGCCGUAACUGACGCUGAGGAGCGAAAGCGUGGGGAGCAAACAGGAUUAGAUACCCUGGUAGUCCACGCCGUAAACGUUGGGCACUAGGUGUGGGUCUCAACCAACGAGAUCCGCGCCGUCGCUAACGCAUUAAGUGCCCCGCCUGGGGAGUACGGCCGCAAGGCUAAACUCAAAGGAAUUGACGGGGCCCGCACAAGCAGCGGAGCGUGUUGCUUAAUUCGAUGCAACGCGAAGAACCUUACCUGGGGUUUGACAUGUAGGGAAAGCUCUAGAGAUAGGGUGUCCUUCGGGCCUUACCCAGGUGGUGCAUGCUGUCGUCAGCUCGUGUCCUGAGAAUGUUGGGUAGUCCCGCACGAGCGCCACCCUUUUCCCUAUGUUGCAGCGGGUAUUGCGGGAACCUCGUUAAGAAACUGCGGUUCCACUCCGAAGAAGGUGGGAAGUAACUUCUGAGAUCAUAUAUAUGUUCCCUUAUAGUGUCA
rnacentral:rRNA from 1 species